AGUGAACGCUGGCGGUCGGCCUAACACAUGCAAGUCGAACGGCAGCACAGUAAGAGCUUGCUCUUACGGGUGGCGAGUGGCGGACGGGUGAGGAAUACAUCGGAAUCUACUUUUUCGUGGGGGAUAACGUAGGGAAACUUACGCUAAUACCGCAUACGACCUACGGGUGAAAGCAGGGGAUCUUCGGACCUUGCGCGAUUGAAUGAGCCGAUGUCGGAUUAGCUAGUUGGCGGGGUAAAGGCCCACCAAGGCGACGAUCCGUAGCUGGUCUGAGAGGAUGAUCAGCCACACUGGAACUGAGACACGGUCCAGACUCCUACGGGAGGCAGCAGUGGGGAAUAUUGGACAAUGGGCGCAAGCCUAAUCCAGCCAUACCGCGUGGGUGAAGAAGGCCUUCGGGUUGUAAAGCCCUUUUGUUGGGAAAGAAAAGCAGCAGGUUAAUACCCCGCUGUUCUGACGGUACCCAAAGAAUAAGCACCGGCUAACUUCGUG
rnacentral:rRNA from 1 species